GGUAAGAGCUGAAGGUGUGCUCAUUAAUCCCUUUUCCAUUGGAGGUGUAAUAGUUAUGUUACUCGGCCAUUGCUUGUUUGGGAUACUCGAGAAAGAGGGGGGUGAGAGGUAAUGAGGGAGAGAAAAUGCAGGAGCGAUGUAGGUUAGGUCUUUCCAUAGUUCUUUUGCAAUCUGUUUUGUCAUACUAUCGUUCAAAGUAGGGUAGGAUACUGGAGAAAGAGUGAGAGAUGAUGGAAGAGAGGAAAAACAGGAGUGAUGUUGAUAAAAGGUCUUUCUAUACGUAUUUUUUUUGCAUUCUUUGCUCUCUAGAAUUAUGAGGAGACAGAGAUAAAGAAAAUACUGGAAUGAAAUUGAUAUGGGUCUUUCUAUAGCUAAUUUUCGCAUUCUUUGUUCUCAUACUGCUGAAGAGAGAGAGAGACGCAUUAACCCACCCCCUUCACCGCCUUCGUCUGCGUCAUCACCGCCAUCAUCACCUUUUCGGAGCCGCCAGAGUUAGCCAGAGCCAUCCACCCAGUGCUGCUACCUUGCUUCUUUACGUUAUUUAAGCUGUGCACGGUAUACGGAACUUGCUGAAGGUUGCCACGUGAGGGGGAGCUAAGAUCCACAUCAUCAAACUCUUCGCAGGCUCAGUCCAUGUUUCAAAAGGCUCUCGCGGAAGUUCUCGGGGUUCCCAUGGGUGGUUUCCUGAGCCUGGCGGUAGAUUGGCAAGGCUCCGCGCUGUGAACGGGGACAAACACCCGUUACAACCCGACGUAGCUCCUCCCUGGCCUUGAAAAACGUUCGUAACAAGAGCCAUAAAACGUUUGAUGAUACGAGUGUGAAUCUCACGUGACUGGGCAAACAGCACCAAGCAACAGCAGCACCAUUUGUAACCUCGUCCGGGAGUGCUCAGUGCUCAGUAAUGUAAAUGGUGCUGGGCCUACAUAGCACUCUAGUAAUCAGCGUCAGUGGAGAGCAGCACCUAAGGUUCGUCAGGGAGUGCUCAGUGUAAUGUAUCUCUGGUGCUGGGUUCGCAUUGCACUCCAGAACAGCAUCAGUGAAGAGCAGCACCACUUGUAUGAUCGUCAGAGAGUGCUCAAUGCUCAGUGUGAUGUAUCCUUGGUGCUGGAUUCGCGUACCACCACUUGUAAGCUCGUCCUGGAGUGCUCAGUGCUCAGUAAAAUGUAUCCCUGGUGCUGGGGCCCGCGUAGCACCACUCUAGGUCAGCACCAAGGUCAGCCCUCAGCCAGACAUGCUCAGGCACCCACCACACCUCGUUAUAUACUCAGCACCUCAGCCACAGACUUCCCCCCUGGAGUAUAUCUGUCACGGAUGUAUGUAUGUGUGUAGCGGACAGGCCUCAAGUGCAUUUUUUAUAAACUUAUCAGAAACCGAAAGCCGAAAAAAAAUCUAUAAAAGUUAAAAAAUAUAAAAAACGAUAGAUUCUUAAUUUAUAAUACUAUAUAUAGUUUCUGUACAAAUACUGUAACUCAAGUAAUAGUAAUAACAGUAUCAAGUUGC